rnacentral:rRNA from 1 species
UACGGAGGGGGCUAGCGUUGUUCGGAAUUACUGGGCGUAAAGCGCACGUAGGCGGCUUUGUAAGUUAGAGGUGAAAGCCCAGGGGCUCAACCCUGGAAUUGCCUUUAAGACUGCAUCGCUUGAACAUCGGAGAGGUAAGUGGAAUUCCGAGUGUAGAGGUGAAAUUCGUAGAUAUUCGGAAGAACACCAGUGGCGAAGGCGACUUACUGGACGAUUGUUGACGCUGAGGUGCGAAAGCGUGGGGAGCAAACAGG